GACAGACGUUCCUGGUUGGCAAUAUGCAAAGAAAGGAGUGGAAUAUUGCUAAAACUGGAGCUGACUGAAUUCUGAAAUACCAGCUCAUCAAUUAACAGCCUUGAUGAUUCAGAGAAAAACAGUACUAAUCUGGGGUCUCACUCUGUCAUCCAGGCUGGAGUGUAGUGACACA